rnacentral:RNase_P_RNA from 1 species
GGAGGCGGAUGGAGGAUCGCGCGUGUACCUGGUCUCUGGCGAGGUACACGGGAGGAAAGUCCGGGCUCCAUAGGGCAGGGAGGUCGUUAACGACGACCCGGGGUGACUCGAGGGAAAGCGCAACAGAAACGAUACCGCCCGUGGCCGUUGAUCUCGGCGCCUUCGAGAGACGGCGUCGAAGCAGGCGCGGGUAAGGGUGAAAUCGUGGGGUAAGAGCCCACGCGCGACUGCCGGGUGACCGGCGGCGGAGCAAGCCCCUCCCGGAGCAAGCUCAAAUAGGGACACGGUCGAGAGCGGCCCGCUCGAGACCCUUCGGGGUCCGGUGUCUGGGUGGAGUGCACGAGCGGCGCAGCAAUGCGUCGCCUAGAUGAAUGAUCCUUGCCGGCCGGAGGGAGUUUCCUCCGGUCGGAACAGAACCCGGCUUACAGUCCGCCCCGGAGG